UGGGGAAUAUUGGACAAUGGGCGAAAGCCUGAUCCAGCCAUGCCGCGUGUGUGAAGAAGGUCUUCGGAUUGUAAAGCACUUUAAGUUGGGAGGAAGGGCAGUAAGCGAAUACCUUGCUGUUUUGACGUUACCGACAGAAUAAGCACCGGCUAACUCUGUGCCAGCAGCCGCGGUAAUACAGAGGGUGCAAGCGUUAUUCGGAAUUACUGGGCGUAAAGCGCGCGUAGGUGGUUCGUUAAGUUGAAUGUGAAAGCCCCGGGCUCAACCUGGGAACUGCAUCCAAAGCUGGCGAGCUAGAGUAGGGCAGAGGGUGGUGGAAUUUCCUGUGUAGCGGUGACAUGCGUGGAUAUAGGAAGGAACACCAGUGGCGAAGGCGACCACCUGGGCUCAUACUGACACUGAGGUGCGAAAGCGUGGGGAGCAAACAGG
rnacentral:rRNA from 1 species